AUUGAACGCUGGCGGCAGGCCUAACACAUGCAAGUCGAGCGGAUGAAGGGAGCUUGCUCCUGGAUUCAGCGGCGGACGGGUGAGUAAUGCCUAGGAAUCUGCCUGGUAGUGGGGGAUAACGUCCGGAAACGGGCGCUAAUACCGCAUACGUCCUGAGGGAGAAAGUGGGGGAUCUUCGGACCUCACGCUAUCAGAUGAGCCUAGGUCGGAUUAGCUAGUUGGUGGGGUAAAGGCCUACCAAGGCGACGAUCCGUAACUGGUCUGAGAGGAUGAUCAGUCAAAAUGGAACGAGAGACAGGGCCAGAAUCCUAAGGGGGGCAGGAGGGGGGAAUAAUGGGAAAUGGGGGAAAGCCUGAACCAGCCAAGCCGGGGUGGUGAAGAAGGUUUUCGGAUUUUAAAAGACUUUAAGUUGGGAGGAAGGGAAGUAAGUUAAAACCUUGCUGUUUUGACGUUAACAAAAAAAUAAGCACCGGCUAACUUCG
rnacentral:rRNA from 1 species